CAACAUCAACUACCACCACCACAACCUCAACUACCACUACCACAACUACCACCACAACCUCUACUACUACAAAUCCAAUAAGAACUACUACAGGCAACAUCGAUGUCUUGACGACGGCAGAUCCUAAGACACCGGGAACAACCGCUAAUGUCAACAUGAUCAGCACCUCUGAGUCAGUCACUACCCUGAGGCCAUCAACGUCCACCACAACUGUAGCUCCAUCAUCAACGUCUGGGAGCAGCCUCACCAGCGCGUCUACCACACAGGGAAAUAGUACACUAGUUGGCUCGGGGAUUCUUCCAGUCCUGCCUGUAAUCGGUGGAACACCUACAGGACCCUCUGGAGGACAGAUUGGAGUACCUGCACCGAUUGCAC